rnacentral:rRNA from 1 species
UCGAACGGAUUAAAGGGCUUGCUCUUUAGUUAGUGGCGAACGGGUGAGUAAUAUAUCGGAACAUAUCCGGAAGUGGGGGAUAACGUAGCGAAAGUUACGCUAAUACCGCAUAUGCCCUGAGGGGGAAAGGGGGGGAUCGCAAGACCUCUCGCUUUCGGAGUGGCCGAUAUCGGAUUAGCUAGUAGGUGAGGUAAAGGCUCACCUAGGCGACGAUCCGUAGCUGGUCUGAGAGGACGACCAGCCACACUGGAACUGAGACACGGUCCAGACUCCUACGGGAGGCAGCAGUGGGGAAUUUUGGACAAUGGGCGAAAGCCUGAUCCAGCCAUACCGCGUGAGUGAAGAAGGCCUUCGGGUUGUAAAGCUCUUUCAGCCGGAAAGAAAUCGCACUUCUUAAUACGAAGUGUGGAUGACGGUACCGGAAGAAGAAGCACCGGCUAACUCUGUG